UACGAAGGGGGCUAGCGUUGUUCGGAAUUACUGGGCGUAAAGCGCACGCAGGUGGCUGAGUCAGUCGAUUGUGAAAGCCCUGGGCUUAACCUGGGAAUUGCAGUCGAUACUACUCGGCUUGAGUAUGGGAGAGGGCAGUGGAAUUCUCGGUGUAGCGGUGAAAUGCGUAGAUAUCGAGAGGAACAUCAGUGGCGAAGGCGGCUGCCUGGCCCAAUACUGACACUCAGGUGCGACAGCGUGGGGAGCAAACAGG
rnacentral:rRNA from 1 species